AGAGUUUGAUCAUGGCUCAGGAUGAACGCUGGCGGCGUGCCUAACACAUGCAAGUCGAACGAAGCAUUUACGGAUGAACCCUUCGGGGGGAUUUUGUUUAUGACCGAGUGGCGGACGGGUGAGUAACGCGUGGGGAACCUGCCUCUGCCAGGGGGAUAACAGUUAGAAAUGACUGCUAAUACCGCAUAAGCGCACAGAACCGCAUGGUUCGGUGUGAAAAGCCGAGACGGACAGAGAUGGACCCGCGUCUGAUUAGGUAGUUGGUGAGGUAACGGCCCACCAAGCCGACGAUCAGUAGCCGACCUGAGAGGGUGACCGGCCACAUUGGGACUGAGACACGGCCCAAACUCCUACGGGAGGCAGCAGUGGGGAAUAUUGCACAAUGGGGGAAACCCUGAUGCAGCGACGCCGCGUGAAGGAAGAAGUAUUUCGGUACGUAAACUUCUAUCAGCAGGGAAGAAAACGACGGUACCUGACUAAGAAGCUCCGGCUAAAUACGUGCCAGCAGCCGCGGUAAUACGUAUGGAGCAAGCGUUAUCCGGAUUUACUGGGUGUAAAGGGAGCGUAGGCGGCGAUGCAAGUCAGAGGUGAAAGCCCGGGGCUCAACUCCGGGACUGCCUUUGAAACUGUAUGGCUGGAUUGCAGGAGAGGUAAGUGGAAUUCCUAGUGUAGCGGUGAAAUGCGUAGAUAUUAGGAGGAACACCAGUGGCGAAGGCGGCUUACUGGACUGUAAAUGACGCUGAGGCUCGAAAGCGUGGGGAGCAAACAGGAUUAGAUACCCUGGUAGUCCACGCGGUAAA
rnacentral:rRNA from 1 species